UUAAGUUCAGCGGGUAUCCCUACCUGAUCCGAGGUCAACCGUAAAGAUUGAGGGGUUUUGGCAAGCAACCGCCGGGCACCAUAGCGAGGAAAUUUACUACGCUUAGAGCCAGACGGCACCGCCACUGAUUUUAAGAGCCGCGAGACCGCGAGCCCCAAUACCAAGCCAAGGCUUGAGUGGUCAUAAUGACGCUCGAACAG
rnacentral:misc_RNA from 1 species